ensembl:lncRNA
GGGACGUCGGCGCCCAAUCAGCAGCGGAGCCGCUUGGGCCCGCAGGGUGCUGCGAGGUUAUUGGGCAACGCAAAUCCAGGCAGCUGGGCUGGAGGCGGUGGUCGCUAGGCUAGGUCAAGGGGGACCGCCUGGGCAGCAACCAUUCCCCUAUUCCUUGUCCUCAGCUUCCCUCCUGCCGGGCACCUCUCGCAGCGCAGGAUGUGGACUGAGUCAAAGCGGUGGGGGGAAGGGAGCAGGUCCCAGACGACCACGAUUCCCGAGGUUCCCACUCCCUGGAGACUCAGUAUGGCUGUACCGCUCCGGUGGUCUGGUCAGCGCACCUUGCCUCUGCACACCCAGCCUAGCCAUUCUCGAUCAUAACUGCUAAAAGGAGCAAAGGAGGAAGGCUUAAGAAGUAGAAUCCACGUGUAAAUCCAAACCCUUAUAUUAGUCUCCCCAUACCCCCAAAUCCGCCUCCAGGUAGCUCUUUAACCAGAACCCCCGGCAGGUAAAUUAAUUUGACUGCUUGGAGUUAAGAGCUAAAUAAGUUUGGGUGAAAAAAUGAGCUAGGACCUUCGGCGAUCCGGGAAAGGAAGACUGAGUCCCGACGUCAAAAGGCCCCGGCCUCGCAUUGGAGGCUACCUGAUUGCUGGAAAACUGUAGCGUUCAAGACAGUGUUGCCACUCAUUCUGUGCUGGUGAAUCCGUGUACACCAUGAUACCAAGACUUAGGGGUGCCAUCAGGCCCUUCUGGAGCCAGCUUCCUACUUGGAGGACACAGAAAAGACCACCGUGCUUCUGCAAUGUGGAUUCCCAGCACCACUUCAAGGUUCCAAAUCCCCGCUGGACCACUAACUGAUCCUGGUAUAACGUAAAGAGAAGUAGAUGGCAAGGGGAGGAAGCCACAGAAACAUGAUUGAUAUUGGGCAUCUCAUUGUUCUUGAAAAGUUUAGCUGCGAAUCAUGAAAGUAGAUGGCAAUGAAGAGAAAGGAUGUGGAUUUUCAGUUCUAUGUGAAAGAAAUUCUUCUCCAAAGUCACAUCAGAUCAAUGUCCAGUGGCCUUGACCUUAGAGCCUCAGGUCGGGGAAGGCCCGUGAGAUAAGACGUGGAUGUGAGGAGCCUGAACUUUUCAACACUGUCAGGUCUGUGAAAAGAAGAAAUGAAUAGCAAGUAGGUCCAGGAGCACUUUCUCCUCAUCUGGAGCCCAAGCCUUGAGCGACUGAGAGUAAAGGAAUGCUAAGGCCUGUCCUGCUGCCCCAGGACUAGAUGGGAAGCACAACAACAUAUACAAAUAAUCCUCCUGUGAACAGGGACACAAGUGAGAAUGACACCUUUAGAGAGCCCGAGGUGAAGUCUGUGUCCAUGUCUACCAGAAUUUGGCCUAUAAUCUUGACCUCAUCAUGAAGAGCUGCAACCAUCUGACCUAAUGUUACUCAGUAAUCUUCCUGUCAGAAUAAUACGUGAUGAGUAUUUUCAUUUUGUUAUCAUGGUUGUGAUCCUGAUUCCCUGAGGCUGGAUGACUACCUGGGUGGGAGCAUUACUCACUUAACAAAUACAUAUGGGAGUUUCCCGGUUGUCAGGCAUGAAGGAAGCACUGGGGCACCGGACAAACAUGGUGCCCACCUUCAAGGAGUUACAGUCCAGUGUGGACGCCCAUAUCUAAACAGACAUUACAUGACAUUGCUACUUUCCAACUUUUCUGUUAUUUUGGUGGCCUCCCAAAAUAGGUGGAUCCAUUGAUUUGAUUUUCGGCACCCUCUUGUGCCAAUCCCCUGCAUUAGUGUGCCUCUUGCAGUGCCAACUCCAUCUGUACAUCAUCGGGGAAGUGAACAAGAAAGCAGUCCCCAAGCCUGUCUCCAGACAAAAAGCAUAUCAUUGCCUGAAAUCAGCCCUCUGAUUCCUAAAUGCAACGGGCGAGUCACUGCCCCUCCCUGCUGAAAGAUCUUUUGGGGGCAGGCUGCAGACACAGCCCAGCUUGCAAGGGCCUGAGAGGGGAGGAGCCUUUGAAGUUAGGUGGCUGCUGUCCCCGGUGCACAUCACUCACGGCAUUCAUCCCUAAUAAUAUCUCAUGAAGACAAUCUUUUCUGGGAA